rnacentral:rRNA from 1 species
ACAAGCGGUGGAGCAUGUGGUUUAAUUCGACGCAACGCGAAGAACCUUACCAGGCUUGACAUCCCCUGACCGCGUAUUGAAGUACGUUUUCACCUCGGGUGACAGGGAGACAGGUGGUGCAUGGUUGUCGUCAGCUCGUGUCGUGAGAUGUUGGGUUAAGUCCCGCAACGAGCGCAACCCCUACGUUUAGUUGCUAACGCGUGAAGGCGAGCACUCUAGACGAACUGCCGUUGACAAAACGGAGGAAGGUGGGGAUGACGUCAAAUCAUCAUGCCCCUUAUGUUCUGGGCUACACACGUGCUACAAUGGCCGGUACAGACGGACGCAAAGCCGCGAGGCGGAGCAAAUCCGAAAAAGCCGGUCUCAGUUCGGAUUGCAGGCUGCAAUUCGCCUGCAUGAAGUCGGAAUCGCUAGUAAUCGCAGGUCAGCAUACUGCGUUGAAUACGUUCCCGGGGCUU